CCCACCCCUCCUCCUCGCGCCCGCCCGCCUCAAACUCCUGCAAACAAGACGCACCAUUCACAACUCCGCGGUCCGCGCCGCGCAUGCGCCACCCUGUAGCUUGUGCGGCGGCUGGACUGCAGGGAACCUGGACUCCUCCCGCAGGGCGGCCUCCUUCCCCUUGCCUGUCCGCAGGCCACUGGGUGUGUAGCUGCCCAGCUGGCCUUUGGCAAGCGACUGCGGCUCCCGCGGGCCUUACUUUAUGCCCUUACUUGACCAUCUGGAACUUCUGGAGUCUCCAGUCAUGCGAAGAAACUGUGAUUGCCACUUGAACGUUAGGAAACCUAAGUCCCUGGACACUUUUCAUCCCCAAACUGACGGGGAAGAGUGUAGUCUAUGCACAUCUAAGAUAAAGGUGGAAGCAGAAAGCCAACUGAAUCGUGGUGGACAGAUCCAGGUUUUUGGAGUCUGGACGUGCCUUAGAUGGAAUCCUUCAUGACUCUCCUGCCCGCUAGCUGGGCCUUAGACAAGUAUUGAACUGCUAGGUCUCAGAUUCCUAUUUUCCAAAAUACAGACACUCAUAAGCUCAUUGUGUUAGCAUGAGAACCUUUAUGUAAGCCUAGUAUAUGAUCACAUGAUGCGUGUUCAAUAAAUUUGUUUCUAAAGUACAA
rnacentral:lncRNA from 1 species